rnacentral:rRNA from 1 species
AUUGAACGCUGGCGGCAGGCCUAACACAUGCAAGUCGAACGCGUGGCGGACGGGUGAGUAAUGUCUGGGAAACUGCCCGAUGGAGGUGGAUAACUACUGGAAACGGUAGCUAAUACCGCAUACCAUCGGAUGUGCCCAGAUGGGAUUAGCUAGGAGGUGGGGUAACGGCUCACCUAGGCGACGCUCACUAGCUGGUCUGAGAGGAUGACCAGCCACACUGGAACUGAGACACGGUCCAGAAUCCUGUGUGAGGAAGCAGUGGGGAAUAUUGCACAAUGGGCGCAAGCCUGAUGCAGCCAUGCCGAGUGUAUGAAGAAGGCCUUCGGGUUGUAAAGUACUUUCAGCGGGGAGGCGUUACCCGCAGAAGAAGCACCGGCUAACUCCGUGCCAGCAGCCGCGGUAAUAG